GCGUGAACGAUGAAGGCCCUAGGGUUGUAAAGUUCUUUCAGCGAGGAAGAUAAUGACGGUACUCGCAGAAGAAGCCCCGGCUAACUCCGUGCCAGCAGCCGCGGUAAUACGGAGGGGGCUAGCGUUGUUCGGAAUUACUGGGCGUAAAGCGCACGUAGGCGGAUAUUUAAGUCGGGGGUGAAAUCCCGGGGCUCAACCCCGGAACUGCCUUCGAUACUGGAUGUCUGGAGUCCGAGAGAGGUGAGUGGAAUUCCGAGUGUAGAGGUGAAAUUCGU
rnacentral:rRNA from 1 species